rnacentral:lncRNA from 1 species
CUCCCUCACCCGCAAAACCCCUUCCUGUGACCCACCUCACCCAGAAACCCACAUCCCUUCCUUUGUACCCACCCUUUUCCCUCCUCUAUACACCCCCACUCCUUAAAUCCACACCCAUUCCUCCCACCUCACGAAACCAGUGAUGACGGGAUAUGGGUUUUUUUUUUUGGGUGAUAGGAGCAUAUUUAUACGCCGUAGUUAGCUAGUUCUUAUGCAUUUUCGUUAUGUUUUCUUAGUUUAAGUAGUCUUUUAAGCUAGUUUUAUGUGUUUUCAGGUUUUAAGGGCAAAGCAUAUAAAAAGAUGUAUUUUGGAGCCUUUUGGAGCAAAAUGGAGCUUGGAAUGAAUGUCACAUAUUUGGAGCCAAAGGUUUGGACGAAUUUGAAGACUUGAAGAUGAUGAUUCCUACUUGAACAAGGUUUCCUAGUUGAAGUAGGAAAGUGCUUACAUGAAGAAGGAUUCCUAAUCGACGAAGGAUUCCUAGUUGAAGAUGGAUUCAUAGAAGAAUGAAGAUUCCUACUCAAACAAGGUUUCCUGCUUGAAGUAGGAAAGUUAAACCUAAUUGGCCUUGAGUUUCAACAACAAAUAAGUUUUCCAAGUCAAAGAAGGAAAAGGAAUCCAAAAAGAAGAAGGAUUGAUCAAGACAAGCUUUCCUAUUCCUAAUGUGCAAAGGUUUUAGCUACAAAGAGGAGUCCUAAACACUUUAGGACACCUUAGCCUUAUCCUAGAGGAGUGCCUCACCAAUUUCAGCAAAGAGAUCUAUUUUCCUUACCUUAGCCUUAUCCUAGAGGAGUGCCGCACCAAUUUCAGCAAGGAGAUCUAUUUUCCUUGCCUUGCAAGGCUUUCUAGAAGCCUUAUCCAUUGUUUCCCUUUGCUGCCGCAACUAUUGGACCUUUUCCCCUUUUAAUUCUGAUUUCUAAGCCUUUUUCCUUGUGGAUUUGGGUUAUCCAAGUCCAUAUCUGAUUACCCUAGGGUUUUAAGUGCUUAUAUAUACUCUCAUUCACUCCUUGGCUGAAUUACGACCUCCCAUAUACAUCAUUCACGCCAGAAACAUACACCCACUCUUUGCCGCAGCCUUCCACCACCAUUCUCUCUAAUUCCAACCAAAAAUCAUCCCUUGCCGCACCAACCAUCAACCCUAACCACUACCACACUCUCCCCCAUCCAUUAUACACCAUUUAAUAACCCAAAACCUGUCCACAAACUCUCUGCCGCAGCAAAGAGGAAGGAGGAACUUCGUGGAUGCACUUGCUGUCCAAGUUGGAGUAUCUAGAUGUUUUCUUUCCUUGGAUUUCAAUGUUUAAACUUAUUUAUCUUUGCUUUGUGCGUAUGAGGAACUAAACCCCCCCUUGGCUAGGGGGGAUUUGAAACCAUGUUUAUGCUUGCUAUAUGAUUUGAUUAUUUCUAAUUGCGUUUCAUAAAUUGUGAAUUCAAUUUACUUAUCUAUAUGAAUUAAGACUGAUUUGUGUGUGUUGGUUGAGAGUGCACGCUUAAUUUUCAUGCAUAAGUUUGAUGCUAGGGUAUAAGAGAGUUUCACCUAAUCGUUAUGAACUUAUAUUCGCAAGUAGUAAAGGUUGUUGAUCACAAUCGUGUUAAGUAAAUUCUUGGCAUAAGUUUCAUGCAAUUCAUAGUAACAAGUGCCUCGCCAAUGCUUAUGGUUUUCAUAGAACUUAAUGAUCUUUGCUUGUAUCUUUGUUAUGCAAUUCAUGCAGGGAAAUUGUGAGGAAUGCUUUGGGUUGUCGUAUGCAAUUCAUCCAAUUCGAUAACUUUAGGAAAAUCUGAGGGUUAAUUAGUGCAAUUCACGAUUAAUCUGGGGCAUUGGGAAUUCAUGGUUUAUUGAGAAGCAAUUGGGAAUCGUUUUGUAUGCAAGUGUGACAUGUGUGGAGAAGAACCCCUUAGCUAGCUUUCCACCCAUUCACUUUAACCAAAUUCGUUUUAAAAUCUGUUUAGUUUACAAAGUUUCUGUUUGUUUUCAAUUUUCGUUAAAACCAAUUCCCCAUUUAUUUUAAAGUGUUAGAUUAGCUAGAAAUCAAUUUAGUUUGUGUUUUUAAGUGUCUUGAGUCAAGUUAUAACCUAUUUUCGUCCAAAUUGUGUUUUGUGUUCAAAACUGCCCAGAAAGUGUUUUUAAGGCAGUUUUAAGUGUUUCUGGGCUGUUUUGAGUCUUUUGGUUUGUUUUAGUGUUUUAGAGUUUAGUUUUGCAUUCUUUGAGUCUAGUUUAGUGUUUUAAACUUUGGUUUUACGUUUUGAGUCAGUUUUCAAGUGAUUUAGCAAUCCCUCAUAAUCCCCGGCCUAGAACGAUCCCUACUUACAUACUUUGCUACAAUUGAUAAAAAGAGGGUUUAAUUUGUGUGCUUAUAUAUUUUGCAUCACUAGGUUGCAGGGGAAGAAGAUAAAGAUGGGGGAAAAGACAAGAGGAGGAGGAGAAAGGGUGGGGAAGACGAAUUGAAGGGCUUUUUCUUUGUCUGGAUUGCAGGGGGAAGAAGAUGA